UGGGCUGUCGCCAAGCGGUAAGGCAACGGGUUUUGAUCCCGUCAUACGCAGGUUCAAAUCCUGCCAGCCCAGCCA
rnacentral:tRNA from 1 species